rnacentral:rRNA from 2 species
GACAGAGGGGGCAAGCGUUGUCCGGAGUUACUGGGCGUAAAGCGCACGCAGGCGGCUAUGCACGUGGGAUGUAAAAGCGCUCGGCUUAACCGAGCGAGGCCAUUCCAUACGGCAUAGCUCGAGCCGUGCAGAAGCCAGUGGAAUUGCCGGUGGAGUAGUGAAAUACGUAGAUACCGGCAGGAACGCCAAUGGAGAAGUCAGCUGGCUGGGCACGUGCUGACGCUGAGGUGCGACAGCGUGGGGAGCGAACUGG